AUACCCCACUUUCAUCAUACAAAGCAGACGUAACUACAUUAAAUUUCAAUUCAGAUGUUCUUUAGUUUUUUUCUAUUGAACAGUAAAAACCAUUGGUUAUUCUCAAAUUCAUACUUUAGGGCGAGAUAUAGUCUCUACUACCCCUUUUAAAAUACUCUCUGCAUCCAAUUUACAAACUUAUGUAACACUGUUUCUGUUAUGGGAUGUACAAAAUUAUUCCAACGCAUUUCUAAUUUUUUAUAACCAGAAAUCUAUUUAGGGCCAACAUUUAGGACCAACUGCAGCAUUUGAAACUUGGGAAUAAUGAGCCCGCUCCUCUGCCCUUCUCCACUUAAAUACUGGGCCAAGUUCUCAUGAUACAGGGCUCGAACCUGUGACCUAAGUCACAAGUCUCAACACAUUCUUAAUAAUAUUUCAUAUAUCUGUAGCACUGUUCAAGAAUUCAAAUUCAUUUAGCAAUUCGAAUAUUUCAAUUGCUUUUUUUCCAAAUAUCACUCUAGCAGUUACUUCCACUACCACUAUUAGAUUAAAUAAUACAAAUUAAGAUCUCAAACGACGUUCCAACCAAAUGGUGUCAAACAAUUAAAAUGCCUUUAUAACAAAAAGGUUAGUAAAACAGAGCAAAACAAGCAAGAAACUUAAAAGCAAAAGUAGAUCUAAGAAGUUUUGUAAAACAAAAGAAACAAAAACACAAACCUGACUUAGCCUUCUUGAAACCGCCAUUGGCAUUAAAACCACCUUCGUUUCUGUUUCUCUUCCGAAGGUCCAUGUCUACUAACUCUCAGAUCCAAACAGACGAAUCAAAAUUACAACUAAAAAUAAUGAUAAAGUAGAACAAAAAUAGAAGCGUAAACGAAGAAAGAUUUAGGAAGAAAAAACCCUAACCCUAGAACUAGGGUUUUUCUCGAAGUGGGGGAGGAGAAGAAGGGUGUGGCGGAUG
rnacentral:lncRNA from 1 species